UACGGAAGGCAGCAGUGGGGAAUAUUGCACAAUGGGCGAAAGCCUGAUGCAGCUAUGCCGCGUGUAUGAAGAAGGCCUUAGGGUUGUAAAGUACUUUCAUCGGGGAGGAAAAAACAAAACUAAUAAUUUUAUUUCUUGACGUUACCCGAAAAAGAAGCACCGGCUAACUCCGUGCCAGCAGCCGCGGUAAUACGGAGGGUGCUAGCGUUAAUCAGAAUUACUGGGCGUAAAGAGCACGUAGGUGGUUUUUUUAAGUCAGAUGUGAAAUCCCUGGGCUUAACCUAGGAACUGCAUUUUGAAACUGAAAUACUAGAGUAUCGUAGAGGGAGGUAGAAUUCUAGGUGUAGCGGUGAAAUGCGUAGAUAUCUGGAGGAAUACCUGUGGCGAAAGCGGCCUCCUAAACGAAUACUGACACUGAGGUGCGAAAGCGUGGGGAGCAAACAGGGACUUAGAUACC
rnacentral:rRNA from 1 species